rnacentral:lncRNA from 1 species
AAUGCCACAGUCCUCAAGACCAUUGGCCCAGGGAAGCCUGGGUGAGGUGAAGUUGACCCAGCACGAACUCACUGGGACUCAGGUGGCUGUAAAAAUAAAAUCUAUAACUAGGGGCUCCCCCAGCCUUCUGAGUCUACACAGAAAGGUAGACGUCAUGAAGGCCCUGAGUGUCCCAUCAUAAUAAAGCCAUAUCAUGUCAUUGAAACCUCAGACAUCCCAUACUGAGCUAUGGUGAUACUCAUAGUGAAGACCUUUUCCACCAAACACUCCAGCCUGGCCACAUGGAGAAGGAGGAGGCUCAAGCCAUGUUUCUGCAAAUACUAUCUGCCCUGUAGUACUGCCACCAAAGUCAGCCGCCAGGACCUGGGUGGCAGGACUCCUGCAUGAAGAGCACAACAUGAAAAGAGCUGACUUUGGCUUCAGCACCACAUAUUCCCAAGGCCAGAAGCUGAGCGCCUUUGGUGGGACUCCCCUUAAGCUGCCCCAGAACUCUUCCUGGGCCACGAGUAUCACAGCCCUGCAGUGGUCGUGUGGGUCUUGGCUCUCCCGUCUACCACAUGGGGCCAGGGCCCUGCCAUUUGGCAGGCAGAACUUCUCAGCCUCAAAAAAACAUACUCAAGGAAAAUAUGUACUGUCUAUAUUCCUUCCGAAUUGAAAUAUUUAUCAAGAAAUUUCUGAUCCUUGACCCCAGAGAAUGACCCACAGAGGACCAGCUGAUGCGGGACCCCUGGGUCAAUGCUGGCCAGGGAACCCUUGGGCCACACAUAGAGCUGCUCCCCAGUCACCUGGGCCCCCUAACAACCUGACUCUUGGUAGCCGUGACAUUCUAGGCACAUCAAGGAAUCCCCAGUAGGAAAAAAUAUAUAUAUAAUUAUUCCAUGGCCACCUACCUAAUCC